rnacentral:tRNA from 1 species
CCUACCGGUCGAGCCCGCAAGGCCGAGUUGAGCUUUGCAAGCCGGAGGUCACCGGUUCGAUCCCGGUACGCUCCA